rnacentral:rRNA from 1 species
AUUGCACGCUGGCGGCAGGCCUAACACAUGCAAGUCGAACGAGCGGCGGACGUGUGAGUAAUGUCUGGGAAACUGCCUGAUGGAGGGGGAUAACUACUGGAAACGGUAGCUAAUACCGCAUACCAUCAGAUGUGCCCAGAUGGGAUUCGCUAGUAGGUGGGGUACAGGCUCACCUAGGCGACGAUCACUAGCUGGUCUGAGAGGAUGACCAGCCACACUGGAACUGAGACACGGUCCAGACUCCUACGGGAGGCAGCAGUGGGGAAUAUUGCACAAUGGGCGCAAGCCUGAUGCAGCCAUGCCGCGUGUAUGAAGAAGGCCUUCGGGUUGUAAAGUACUUUCAGCGGGGAGGCGUUACCCGCAGAAGAAGCACCGGCUAACUCCGUGCCAGCAGCCGCGGUAAUAC